CCCUAUCCAAGGCUUCAUGAUGUCUUGCCUGCUGGCUUAACAUGUAGUUGUCUUUUUAUUUUUUUAUAUACCAGUCACAACUCAGAGAGAGGAGGGGAUAGCAAAACCUUGAAGGAUGGAGCUCAAAAUUCAAAGCAGCCACAGGGAAUUCCAAGGCAAGAGCACAAGGCAAACAAGCUGAGUGAAGAAGUGAGACCAUGCUGGAGGACAGGCGUUGGGACAUUUGACCUCUUGCUCUAUCCUGAGAGUCACCAUGCGGUCGAUGGAGGUUCUUGGUGCUGGAUACACUUCGUAUCUGGCUCCUUGUUUUACAUUUGCUGGCCUGGAUGGGAAAGACUGAAAGCUCAUAUCCUAUAGUUGGCAGGCUGGGAUCAUCUGGACACCGGGCAUCUCUUUGACCACCAUCAGUGCUGCUUCAUGAUCUGCCAGCACCAGCCAUAACUCACCAGUGCAAGAUAGAUCAUGUCUUUUGCUUUUCCCCCAAUGACACUCAAACUAGAUAAUCUGGCCAAAAGCCAGUGACAUUUAUCCAGCAAAGGUAUGUGGCAGAUAAUACUGCAACUAUUGAUAAAGAAACAAGUAUUCUGAUGCUUGUAAUCUACAUGAUGCAACAAAUAAAAUAAACAAUGGAAAUAUACUGGACAAUACAAACUCAUGUUAUCCAGUGUGCCAAUAAUGCUAUGUUUCUGAUCACUUUAUCCUUUAUAUAAUUAGUGGUAGGUUGGUUGGGAAUCAUUAGCACAUGUCUUAUCUACCUGUAAAAUGUAUUUUACCAAUUGCUGCUUUUAUAAUUAGCAAAUAAAUAACACGUCCCGCAAAA